rnacentral:rRNA from 1 species
AUUGAACGCUGGCGGCAUGCCUUACACAUGCAAGUCGAACGGUAACGCGGGGCAACCUGGCGACGAGUGGCGAACGGGUGAGUAAUGCAUCGGAACGUGCCCAGUAGUGGGGGAUAGCCCGGCGAAAGCCGGAUUAAUACCGCAUACGACCUACGGGUGAAAGCGGGGGACCGCAAGGCCUCGCGCUAUUGGAGCGGCCGAUGUCAGAUUAGGUUGUUGGUGAGGUAAAGGCUCACCAAGCCGACGAUCUGUAGCUGGUCUGAGAGGACGACCAGCCACACUGGGACUGAGACACGGGCCAGACUCCUACGGGAGGCAGCAGUGGGGAAUUUUGGACAAUGGGCGCAAGCCUGAUCCAGCCAUGCCGCGUGCGGGAAGAAGGCCUUCGGGUUGUAAACCGCUUUUGUCGGGGAAGAAAUCUUCUGGGCUAAUACCCCGGGAGGAUGACGGUACCCGAAGAAUAAGCACCGGCUAACUACGUGCCAGCAGCCGCAGUAA